CAAUAUGGCUGCCACCAUGAAAACGUGUUGUUGUUUAUAAACAAGUAACGAUGCAUUACAUUUCCACUGAACAUUAUUCCUGAUCUUGUACUGCACUAUAUUUUGCGAGUCUUUAUAAGCUUUAUUGGAAUGGCUAAUCGUAAAUGAUGACAUCUCUGACAUGUUUGAGAGACAGCUUAUUUCUCAAUGACAAAUCGACACCAGCUUGUUUUGACGUUUUGACCCUCUCCCGGCACUCGAGUAGUUUUUACUAAGACGGUGACAUCACACUGACAUGCAUCGUUGUAUUUAUUGUUCCCGUUUCUUACGGCUUACGAGAACGAUAGAAUGCGUUGCUUCUACUAUUCCGAGAUAUUUUGGUGCAAGAAACUUUACAAAUGAUUCUACACAUGAACCAGCCAACCCAACACAACGCGUGGAGCCGGUGUCCUUGCAGCAAUCGUUGUUAAAUGCAGAAGAUGUGCCAAGCAAGGAAGAUGUCUUGUCCAGUCAUGAGGUGUUGGCGGGAAAGACUGUUACUCGUUCAAGCCACUACAUCAUUGACAGAGAUAUAGCAAGGGCCAUUGCUACAGCAGUUAACCAAAACAAGCCAUCUGAGAGUUGUGUCCUUGUGGAGGCAAACCCUGGGCCUGGAAUAUUGACAAGGGCUUUCUUUGAUGCAGGGUUUCAGCAUGUUGUUGCUGUAGAGAGUAAGCCAGAAUUCCAGCAAUACAUGCAGGACAUUGAGAGGACGGUGGGAUCAGACCGACUCAAAUAUUUUGACUUCGACCCUUUCAUCUUGUGGCGGCGGGACAUGCUCGCAAACAAGCACGACGCCACGUACAAGGAAGUGGAGAACAACAUUGCACAGUACAUGACCUCCAGUGUACCGACAGAUGUUCCUGUCAGUGUGUUUGGUGUUCUGAGUAAAAACAAGGAGUAUCCCUUCCUCUCCUACCUGUCCAAGACCUUUGCCCUGGGGGAAGGGCUGUUUUCUGUGAGGCCAAAGAACUGGUUCUUGUUUGUGUCUGCUAAAAUUUAUCUGCAACUGAAGAUUUGUCGUGGUGACGUUUGGUCGUCCGUCUUCUACAACAAAGUUGCUGUCGUCAUCUACAGUUUCUUUGACUUCAAAUUGCUGAUGGAGCUUGAACACAACAAAUUUGCACCUCCAUUUAGGAAGAAAAAGAAGAAAGUGACCAGGCUCUACCCUGAGUGCGAUGUCAACACAAAGUACCUGGUACAGCUGUCAGUCAAGCCUAACAUAGAACAGAUACUCCCUCCCAGUGAGAUCACUACCUUUGCCAUGUUCCUUAAGCAGCUGCUGUUCAGGAGGAAUGACAGGUUCAUCCCUCGAAUGGAACAGCUGAUCCCGGGGUGCGGGCUGCACCUGAUCCAGGCCAGGUUCUCCAUGAUGCAGCUAGUGAUGGACCUCACUCCCGCACAGCUGCUGGAGGUCUUCAAGUCACUUCUCACCUGGCCGGAGUAUCCUGACUCUCCUCUGUCCUUUAUCUUGAUGGAGAGGUCAGAGGUCGACAUUGACGAGGAAGAGGUCAAGGACAAGUUAAAAGAGGAGGAGGACAUGGCCCAAGAGGGCAGCAGGGUGGGCCGCAGUGGUGGUGGAGACUGAUGAUCUCACCUCUCCCUAGGUCCUGGAGGGCAGCAGGGUGGGUCACAGAGGUGGAGACUGAUGCUCUCACCUCCCCCUAGGUCCUGCAGGGCAGCAGGGUGGGUCACAGAGGUGGAGACUGAUGCUCUCACCUCCCCCUAGGUCCUGCAGGGCAGCAGGGUAGGUCACAGAGGUGGAGACUGAUGCUCUCACCUCUCCCUAGGUCCUGGAGGGCAGCAGGGUGGGUCACAGAGGUGGAGACUGAUGCUCUCACCUCUCAAUAGGUCCUGCAGGGCAGCAGGGUGGGUCACAGAGGUGGAGACUGAUGCUCUCACCUCUCCCUAGGUCCUGGAGGGCAGCAGGGUGGGUCACAGAGGUGGAGACUGAUGCUCUCACCUCCCCCUAGGUCCUGCAGGGCAGCAGGGUGGGUCACAGAGGUGGAGACUGAUGCUCUCACCUCACCCUAGGUCCUGCAGGGCAGCAGGGUGGGUCACAGAGGUGGAGACUGAUGCUCUCACCUCUCCCUAGGUCCUGCAGGGCAGCAGGGUGGGUCACAGAGGUGGAGACUGAUGCUCUCACCUCUCCCUAGGUCCUGCAGGGCAGCAGGGUGGGUCACAGAGGUGGAGACUGAUGCUCUCACCUCUCAAUAGGUCCUGCAGGGCAGCAGGGUGGGUCACAGAGGUGGAGACUGAUGCUCUCACCUCUCCCUAGGUCCUGGAGGGCAGCAGGGUGGGUCACAGAGGUGGAGACUGAUGCUCUCACCUCCCCCUAGGUCCUGCAGGGCAGCAGGGUGGGUCACAGAGGUGGAGACUGAUGCUCUCACCUCCCCCUAGGUCCUGCAGGGCAGCAGGGUGGGUCACAGAGGUGGAGACUGAUGCUCUCACCUCCCCCUAGGUCCUGCAGGGCAGCAGGGUAGGUCACAGAGGUGGAGACUGAUGCUCUCACCUCUCCCUAGGUCCUGGAGGGCAGCAGGGUGGGUCAAAGAGGUGGAGACUGAUGCUCUCACCUCUCAAUAGGUCCUGCAGGGCAGCAAGGUGGGUCACAGAGGUGGAGACUGAUGCUCUCACCUCUCCCUAGGUCCUGGAGGGCAGCAGGGUGGGUCACAGAGAUGGAGACUGAUGCUCUCACCUCCCCCUAGGUCCUGCAGGGCAGCAGGGUGGGUCACAGAGGUGGAGACUGAUGCUCUCACCUCACCCUAGGUCCUGCAGGGCAGCAGGGUGGGUCACAGAGGUGGAGACUAAUGCUCUCACCUCUCAAUAGGUCCUGCAGGGCAGCAGGGUGGGUCACAGAGGUGGAGACUGAUGCUCUCACCUCUCCCUAGGUCCUGGAGGGCAGCAGGGUGGGUCACAGAGGUGGAGACUGAUGCUCUCACCUCUCCCUAGGUCCUGGAGGGCAGCAGGGUGGGUCACAGAGGUGGAGACUGAUGCUCUCACCUCUCCCUAGGUCCUGCAGGGCAGCAGGGUGGGUCACAGAGGUGGAGACUGAUGCUCUCACCUCUCCCUAGGUCCUGGAGGGCAGCAGGGUGGGUCACAGAGGUGGAGACUGAUGCUCUCAUCUCCCCCUAGGUCCUGCAGGGCAGCAGGGUGGGUCACAGAGGUGGAGACUGAUGCUCUCAUCUCCCCCUAGGUCCUGCAGGGCAGCAGGGUGGGUCACAGAGGUGGAGACUGAUGCUCUCACCUCUCAAUAGGUCCUGCAGGGCAGCAGGGUGGGUCACAGAGGUGGAGACUGAUGCUCUCACCUCUCAAUAGGUCCUGGAGGGCAGCAGGGUGGGUCACAGAGGUGGAGACUGAUGCUCUCACCUCUCCCUAGGUCCUGGAGGGCAGCAGGGUGGGUCACAGAGGUGGAGACUGAUGCUCUCACCUCCCCCUAGGUCCUGCAGGGCAGCAGGGUGGGUCACAGAGGUGGAGACUGAUGCUCUCACCUCCCCCUAGGUCCUGCAGGGCAGCAGGGUGGGUCACAGAGGUGGAGACUGAUGCUCUCACCUCCCCAUAGGUCCUGCAGGGCAGCAGGGUGGGUCACAGAGGUGGAGACUGAUGCUCUCACCUCCCCCUAGGUCCUGCAGGGCAGCAGGGUAGGUCACAGAGGUGGAGACUGAUGCUCUCACCUCUCCCUAGGUCCUGCAGGGCAGCAGGGUGGGUCACAGAGGUGGAGACUGAUGCUCUCACCUCCCCCUAGGUCCUGCAGGGCAGCAGGGUGGGUCACAGAGGUGGAGACUGAUGCUCUCACCUCCCCCUAGGUCCUGCAGGGCAGCAGGGUGGGUCACAGAGGUGGAGACUGAUGCUCUCACCUCUCCCUAGGUCCUGCAGGGCAGCAGGGUGGGUCACAGAGGUGGAGACUGAUGCUCUCACCUCUCCCUAGGUCCUGGAGGGCAGCAGGGUGGGUCACAGAGGUGGAGACUGAUGCUCUCACCUCUCCCUAGGUCCUGGAGGGCAGCAGGGUGGGUCACAGAGGUGGAGACUGAUGCUCUCACCUCUCCCUAGGUCCUGGAGGGCAGCAGGGUGGGUCACAGAGGUGGAGACUGAUGCUCUCACCUCUCCCUAGGUCCUGGAGGGCAGCAGGGUGGGUCACUGAGGUGGAGACUGAUGCUCUCACCUCUCCCUAGGUCCUGCAGGGCAGCAGGGUGGGUCACAGAGGUGGAGACUGAUGCUCUCACCUCUCCCUAGGUCCUGCAGGGCAGCAGGGUGGGUCACAGAGGUGGAGACUGAUGCUCUCAUCUCCCCCUAGGUCCUGCAGGGCAGCAGGGUGGGUCACAGAGGUGGAGACUGAUGCUCUCAUCUCCCCCUAGGUCCUGCAGGGCAGCAGGGUGGGUCACAGAGGUGGAGACUGAUGCUCUCACCUCUCCCUAGGUCCUGCAGGGCAGCAGGGUGGGUCACAGAGGUGGAGACUGUUGCUCUCACCUCCCCCUAGGUCCUGCAGGGCAGCAGGGUGGGUCACAGAGGUGGAGACUGAUGCUCUCACCUCCCCCUAGGUCCUGCAGGGCAGCAGGGUGGGUCACAGAGGUGGAGACUGAUGCUCUCACCUCUCAAUAGGUCCUGCAGGGCAGCAGGGUGGGUCACAGAGGUGGAGACUGAUGAUCUCACCUCUCAAUAGGUCCUGCAGGGCAGCAGGGUGGGUCACAGAGGUGGAGACUGAUGCUCUCACCUCCCACUAGGUCCUGCAGGGCAGCAGGGUGUGUCACAGAGGUGGAGACUGAUGAUCUCACCUCUCAAUAGGUCCUGCAGGGCGGCAGGGUGGGUCACAGAGGUGGAGACUGAUGCUCUCACCUCUCCCUAGGUCCUGCAGGGCAGCAGGGUGGGUCAAAGAGGUGGAGACUGAUGCUCUCACCUCUCAAUAGGUCCUGGAGGGCAGCAGGGUGUCACAGAGGUGGAGACUGAUGCUCUCACCUCUCAAUAGGUCCUGGAGGGCAGCAGGGUGUCACUGAGGUGGAGACUGAUGCUCUCACCUCUCAAUAGGUCCUGGAAACAAUACUCUCAAUGUCUCCAGACAAACAUCAGUGCUCUCCCUUGUCCCAUCAGUGGCUGCACACUCUGUAGUCUAUUUCUGAUGUGUACUAUCCAUCCUCAUAUUUGAUAUACAAGUGAAUAUUAUGAAGAGAAAUGUGUGGCCAGUGUAUCAACUACUCAAAAGUAUAUGCCUAUCUCCCUUUGAUCAGUUGAGUCUGGUGAUAGUGUUUGAGUGGUGUCCCGGCCUGGGAGACCAAGUCAGGACCUGCUACUCCACUACAACAAACAAGCUUAUGUCCGUCAGAAGUCUGUGUACAGUGGGGGUAGGCUGCAUUGCCUUUGCCAUUUUAUCAUCUGAGUCUUCCAACUGCAAUCAACGCAACUUGUCUCAUGUAACUAUAGUAACUGCUUGUUCCAACUAGAUGUAAAUUGCGUAAUCAUUCAUUGAACACCAUCAUACAAACUGACUUCCAAUCGAGUGAAAAAAGUGGAGCUUAAAAGUGGAACACUUUGGUCAUGACAAAAUGUCUGUUCCUCAUAUUCUCAGCCCUUCAGACAUACUGAUUCUGUGUCCUUGCAGGAGACAAUGGAUAACAGUCUGAGUGUCAGUCCCUCAUAAUCUCAGCCCUUCAGACAUAAUGAUUCUCUGUCCUUGCAGGAGACAAUGGAUAACAGUCUGAGUGUCAGUCCCUCAUCUUCUCAGCCCUUCAGACAUACUGAUUCUGUGUCCUUGUAGGAGACGAUGGAUAACAGUCUGAGUGUCAGUCCCUCAUCUUCUCAGCCCUUCAGACAUACUGAUUCUGUGUCCUUGCAGGAGACAAUGGAUAACAGUCUGAGUGUCAGUCCCUCAUCUUCUCAGCCCUUCAGACAUACUGAUUCUGUGUCCUUGCAGGAGACGAUGGAUAACAGUCUGAGUGUCAGUCCCUCAUCUUCUCAGCCCUUCAGACAUACUGAUUCUGUGUCCUUGCAGGAGACAAUGGAUAACAGUCUGAGUGUCAGUCCCUCAUAUUCUCAGCCCUUCAGACAUACUGAUUCUGUGUCCUUGCAGGAGACGAUGGAUAACAGUCUGGCAUGUCAACUAGUAGUACAUCUGACAUGAUGUACCAGGGGAUAUUUGCUAAGUUAGUGAUAAUCAUGAUAAUAAUAAAUUGAACAUGCUAUUUGCAUAUAUAUGAUAUGGCAAAAGUGUCAGUUUAGAUAAUAAGAAAGGUUUUCCAGUAUGUGAUGAAAGAUUUAGUGCUUGAUUUGAUAAUAAAACUUUAUUUUAUA
rnacentral:misc_RNA from 1 species